rnacentral:lncRNA from 1 species
CAGGAGGGGAGCACUGCUCACCCAGCCCAGCUGGGACCCAGCGCAUGGAAGAAGCCAGCAGGGACUGGCGGAUGAUCCAUGGAGUCCCAGGGCAGACUCUAGCUCAGCUGGGGAAUCCUGCAGUCAAGUCUGGACUGAGCAGUUUGCAUUUAAAAGACCUUGUUUUCCCCAGAACCUAAGGCUCAGGGAAACAGACUGGAUUGAACACCUAGGUUUCUCACCAGCUGUGCCAGCGUGGAGAUGUGGAGCUCCGGUUGGCCACCCUGCAGGAGGUUUUGGCCUCAGGAAUUUCAGCAGGAAGGUGCAGCCGCAGCAAGAAAUGCCAUUUGCUCCAGGCUUCCUUCUGCCCACUGGCUCCUCCUCCGCAUCUCUAAGCCCUGAGUGCCCAGGGCUCAGUCGGGACCUCUUCUCUCUGUCUACGCUUGGUUCGAAGAAGAGAAUGCUCUCGCCUUCGUCUGGACCUGUAAGCCUUGCUUCAGAGGCUACCUUCUCACAGACCCUCCCAGAUCCCCACUGCAUGGGCACUGAGAGUUUGCACCUGUCUCAUAAGGUGCUUUUUAACAGAUUCCUGUUGCACUACAUUGUUGCAAGUUUCCUAGCACCUAUAGAAUUUCCCAGGAGUACAUGCUAAAUGAUUUGGGCAAAUGACUUUCAGACGACUGGGGCUCAGCCUAGCGAAAGAACCCUGCAGUGCACUGAGAAGCGUCUUCAGACUUCAAGGAGAUUAUUUAAAUUUGCCUAAAGCUCUCAAAGUGCUCCUUGAAAGUUCUGCUAAACAAAGAACCAAACCAAGAAAAACCUCUAGGGAAUAAAUGUUGCUAAAAUGGUAGUAAGAUGCAUUUGUAUGAGCAGGAAUUUGAAUAUUAAAUGUUGAAAAGAAAGACAUUUAUUAAUUGGAGAUAAACUCCUGACAACCACUUGAAAUGUAAAUGUGGGACAUGAUCAUAAUGCAGAGAUAUUAAGUUCUCCCUUAGAAAAGUAUUUUUAAAACUUCAUUAGAAAAACAAAACAAAACUUAAUUAGGUUGUAUUUGCCAAAGGUUGCCCAGUCCUCGUGGAGAAGACAGGGCAUCUUUCACGAUACCCAGUGAGCUGGCGCUUGUUGCCCAUGGGUUAUGAGGAGGUCUGUGAUGAGACCUGGAUUAAAAGUGGACACUGGUG